AAUAAAGUAUCCAUGGGCAAAAUAAAGCAAAGAGGGUGGAUGGUGGGGACAGUUGGCAUUUCUACCACUUCUCUCAAUCACACAGAGAUACGUGCUGAUUUCAGCAGCUCCACUUUCUAUCUGUAUGUUGGCUAUUCUCCGUCUUUGUUUUGUAGUGUUUUUCUCACUUCCCCAUCCUUAUUCUUGGUAACCAGAUGUGCUUUUGAGUCAAUUAUUUCUGUUCAAAUUGUUAUAUCUGUCUUAGUCUGCUUAGGCAUGAGAGAAUCAGAGUCAUAUAUUUCUAUACUGUUUACAAUUACAAGACAUUGUCCCAUCUUUUUCUCUACUCAAGAAUAUCUUAUGAGUGAAGCAAGGAAAGCAUUAUUAUUUCUAUUUUUUCAGCUUAUCCCUGAAUCAGAAAAUUUUCUGAAACUGCAGACAUACAAUUUUCAAACGUGCAUUGAGAGGCCACUUUCUCAGCUGUGAUUCCAGGGUGUGGGGAUGGGAAGUUGAAACAAGUUAUUUGCAUACCAGGAGCUUCCAACACGACACAAAGGAAAGAAACAUAAUUCAUCCCUGUGAUACCAGCAGAAGUUACAAAGGCUUAUGUAGACAUUCUGCUAUGAAUUAGUCUUCCCUGGAACUUAUGAAAAACUCAUUCAGUCCUUGUUGAGUUGAAAUGAGAUGUAGCUUCUAUCAGUCAUUGACACCGCUCCCUCAUUUUAAGACAUGCCGGCUUCCCUGGCACACCUUGUCGGCGGAACAGGAUACGUACAUGCUUGUCACAGGCUCUGUCCAGGCCAGUGAGUGCCUCUGCCCCAGGUACAGGGCUGGCUCAUGGACCCGGAUGUAUUCCAUUCAUCCUAUGUGGUGAGUAAUCUUUCAGGCCCUUCUUUCUUUAAAUAACCACAUAGAGAUGAAUUUGGACUAUAUUCUCAUACGUGAUAAAGGAAGGCACUGGGGAAAGGCAUAAAAUAGCUGAAUUUCCUUUCAGUCUUUUUCUGCUAUUUCUUUCUACCAAAAUCAUUUCUGUUCUCACAUUGCUCUUUAAAAUGCUAGUUACACCAUUUCUUUAUUUUUAUAGAGCAUCCUGCAGUGUAUGAAGCUAAUUUAUAUGUUCUUUCACUGAAUAAGAAACUAACACUUUGGUGUGAAUUAGUUUAAGGUUUUAUCCUGACUAGGUGCCGGGUGCAGAGACGGUCAAAAUGAUGAAUAUUUUAUAACAAUAACAAUAGUUAGUUUUUUUUAAGUAUUUACUGUCCAUCAGGUAGAAUCAUAAGUAGGUUACAUGUACUGUCUCAUGUAAUCUUUAAUGCAGGGAGUAACUACCAUCAUUCUUUUUUACACAUGGGAAAAAUGAGACAAAAAGAGAGUGAACGAUGAUCUUAGAAGGAGAGCCUAAGCAUGAAUGCCAGAGCCUGUAUGCUGAGCCCUGGACCACACUGCACCCCUCAGUAAAGCUUCAGACAGCCAGUAUUUGUGUGAGGGCAAUGGUAUUGUGCAAAGGAAUGACCAGACCCCAAGCACACCAUGUGGGUGACUGCUUAAUUCUAACACUAAUCCUAUGGGUGACAUUCAGAUCUAGAGCAGAUUCAGGGAAUAGGGCUGAUUUACUGAGAGGUGUUCAUUGUAAUCUACCUAAAACCAACAAGGGACAGAGAAUAUAAUAUCUUACAAUCACUUCAAGAUAAGUUAACCAGCUAAUAAAAACAUGCAGUUAUUAAGAUCAAUUAUGUCUACAGAGAUCAGAAAAUGGUAAAGGGACCUAAAAUAGUUUUGACUUCUGAAAUCAUCAGACUGUAAAGUUUCCCUCCUACAAAGUGAUUUUGAUAUUAGCAAAGUCCAUUAGGUGGGAAAGAGUUUUGUUGUUAUCCUUAUAGCUUAUUCUAAUACAAUUAGAUCCUUAAUAAUAGUUUUUAAAAAAGGAACUAGUGUCUCAGACACAGGCAGCUGCAAACUAGCUAAUUGGUUCUGGGUCAGUGGGUCUUUUUCCACUUGUUUACUGUUAGUGUUUCUUUGGGAGGAAAUGCAUUGCAACACCCCGCUGAUCUAUUGUCUUCCUACAUAUUGUUAAUUCAAGGACUUUGGCAUUCAGGGAGGAAAUUAUGGCCCAUCACGGUACAUAGAAUAUUCUACUUUCCAGAGAAAGGUCAGGAGAAAAAGAAAAGAGAGAAGAUAAAUAUAAAACCUUUAAAUUAAGACUAAAUCCCAAAGUUAUUCCUUGGUUUGUAUAACCAUCAGUCAAUAAUAAUCAAUUGCAAUUAGUCAGAAAAGAACUAAACCUUAGAAUUGCUGAACAGAUGGAAUAAAAAGGAAAAAUGAAGCCACCUUCCAUCAUCAGACAGACAAAACCACAUGACCAUUUUCCUGUCAUUGAUUUUGCUCCUCAUUAAGAUGUGUUCAUUUACUUUCAUUUUGAAGCUCCUAGUUAAAAUCUUGAAACUAGAACUGUCUUCCAUGAAGGAUUUUGCUCAUUACUCUUCUUAUACAGACGUGAAUUCCAGACGGCUUGGGGAAAUAAUUGUUUAUGCUUUAAUUAUCCAUCUCCAAAUAACAAAUAACCCAGAGACCUCUUUUGCGCUCAUUCUAGUAUUUGGUAUUCUAAGUACUUCAGCAAAUAUGUACUCUGAUGACGGUACGGAGUGUAAGUUUAACACAUAAUUCUUGCCUUCUCGUAUGUUAAAAUCAGAAGUUGAAGCCAACACACAAGAUAAGUAACAAACUUUGUUGGGUAUGAGUAGCCAAGAGAGUUCAGUCAAGAAAUAGAACUUGGUUGUAUUUAUAAUACAGAUAAACUUUGAUAGAGAAAAAAAGCACAGGUAUUCCAAUGAAGAAAAUAGAAGAACACUGAAGCAGACUUUUUGUCUUUUUAUACUGUCAUAGGGUUCUUGUG